CUGGCGGCGUGCCUAAUACAUGCAAGUCGAACGGUCUUUCUAUGGAAGCUUGCUUCCACUGAGAAGAUAGUGGCGAACGGGUGAGUAACACGUGGGUAACCUGCCCAUAAGAGGGGGGAUAACAUCCGGAAACGGGUGCUAAUACCGCAUAGUUUUCUUGAUCGCAUGAUCGGGAAAGGAAAGACGGCCUUUGUGCUGUCGCUUAUGGAUGGACCCGCGGCGUAUUAGUUAGUUGGUGAGGUAACGGCUCACCAAGACGAUGAUACGUAGCCGACCUGAGAGGGUGAUCGGCCACAUUGGGACUGAGACACGGCCCAAACUCCUACGGGAGGCAGCAGUAGGGAAUCUUCCGCAAUGGACGAAAGUCUGACGGAGCAACGCCGCGUGAGUGAAGAAAAGGUUUUCGGAUCGUAAAACUCUGUUGUCAGAGAAGAACAAGUUGGAGAGUAACUGCUCCAGCCUUGACGGUAUCUGACCAGAAAGCCACGGCUAACUACGUGCCAGCAGCGGC
rnacentral:rRNA from 1 species